CCGAGUUUCCAACUCACAACCCAAUGUGAACAUACCUACGUUGCUUCGGCGGCAUCUGGCCCCGGCCGCGCCGCCGAAGACCUCAAACUCUUUGUUUUACCAUGUGGUUACUUCUGAGUAUUCUUGAAAUAAAUCA
rnacentral:misc_RNA from 1 species